GAUGAACGCUGGCGGCGUGCCUAAUACAUGCAAGUCGAGCGAACAGACGAGGCGCUUGCUCCUCUGACGUUACCGGCGGACGGGUGAGUAACACGUGGAUAACCUACCUCUAAGACUGGGAUAACUUCGGGAAACCGGAGCUAAUACCGGAUAAUAUAUUUAACCGCAUGGUUCGAUAGUGAAAGACGGUUUUGCUGUCACUUAUAGAUAGCUCCGUGCCGGAUUAGCUAGUUGGUACGGUAACGGCUUACCAAGGCAACGAUGAGUAGCCGACCUGAGAGGGGGAACGGCCACACAGGAGCUGAGACACAGUCCAGACUCCUACGGGAGGCAGCAGUAGGGAAUCUUCCGAGAUGGGCGAAAGCUUGACGGAGCAACGCCGCGUGAGUGAUGAAGGUCUUCGGAUCGUAAAACUCUGUUAUUAGGGAAGAACAAAUGUGUAAGUAACUAUGCACGUCGUGACGGUACCUAAUCAGAAAGCCACGGCUAACUACGUG
rnacentral:rRNA from 1 species